AGAAGACCUCCCGUAAAUCAAGCCUGACUGGUCGCGCAGGUGUAAAAAAGCGGGAUGACACCGUGAAGAGUCAUCCCGC
rnacentral:sRNA from 3 species